UACGUAGGGCGCAAGCGUUAUCCGGAAUUAUUGGGCGUAAAGAGCUCGUAGGCGGUUUGUCGCGUCUGCCGUGAAAGUCCGGGGCUCAACUCCGGAUCUGCGGUGGGUACGGGCAGACUAGAGUGAUGUAGGGGAGACUGGAAUUCCUGGUGUAGCGGUGAAAUGCGCAGAUAUCAGGAGGAACACCAGUGGCGAAAGCGGCUUCCUGGUCCAGCACCGACGUCAGGCACGAAAGCGUGGGGAGCAAACAGG
rnacentral:rRNA from 1 species